GAUGAACGCUGGCGGCGUGCCUAAUACAUGCAAGUCGAGCGAACGGACGAGAAGCUUGCUUCUCUGAUGUUAGCGGCGGACGGGUGAGUAACACGUGGAUAACCUACCUAUAAGACUGGGAUAACUUCGGGAAACCGGAGCUAAUACCGGAUAAUAUUUUGAACCGCAUGGUUCAAAAGUGAAAGACGGUCUUGCUGUCACUUAUAGAUGGAUCCGCGCUGCAUUAGCUAGUUGGUAAGGUAACGGCUUACCAAGGCAACGAUGCAUAGCCGACCUGAGAGGGUGAUCGGCCACACUGGAACUGAGACACGGUCCAGACUCCUACGGGAGGCAGCAGUAGGGAAUCUUCCGCAAUGGGCGAAAGCCUGACGGAGCAACGCCGCGUGAGUGAUGAAGGUCUUCGGAUCGUAAAACUCUGUUAUUAGGGAAGAACAUAUGUGUAAGUAACUGUGCACAUCUUGACGGUACCUAAUCAGAAAGCCACGGCUAACUACGUGCCAGCAGCCGCGGUAAUACGUAGGUGGCAAGCGUUAUCCGGAAUUAUUGGGCGUAAAGCGCGCGUAGGCGGUUUUUUAGUCUGAUGUGAAAGCCCACGGCUCAACCGUGGAGGGUCAUUGGAAACUGGAAAACUUGAGUGCAGAAGAGGAAGGUGGAAUUCCAUGUGUAGCGGUGAAAUGCGCAGAGAUAUGGAGGAACACCAGUGGCGAAGGCGACUUUCUGGUCUGUAACUGACGCUGAUGUGCGAAAGCGUGGGGAUCAAACAGGAUUAGAUACCCUGGUAGUCCACGCCGUAAACGAUGAGUGCUAAGUGUUAGGGGGUUUCCGCCCCUUAGUGCUGCAGCUAACGCAUUAAGCACUCCGCCUGGGGAGUACGACCGCAAGGUUGAAACUCAAAGGAAUUGACGGGGACCCGCACAAGCGGUGGAGCAUGUGGUUUAAUUCGAAGCAACGCGAAGAACCUUACCAAAUCUUGACAUCCUUUGACAACUCUAGAGAUAGAGCCUUCCCCUUCGGGGGGCAAAGUGACAGGUGGUGCAUGGUUGUCGUCAGCUCGUGUCGUGAGAUGUUGGGUUAAGUCCCGCAACGAGCGCAACCCUUAAGCUUAGUUGCCAUCAUUAAGUUGGGCACUCUAAGUUGACUGCCGGUGACAAACCGGAGGAAGGUGGGGAUGACGUCAAAUCAUCAUGCCCCUUAUGAUUUGGGCUACACACGUGCUACAAUGGACAAUACAAAGGGCAGCGAAACCGCGAGGUCAAGCAAAUCCCAUAAAGUUGUUCUCAGUUCGGAUUGUAGUCUGCAACUCGACUACAUGAAGCUGGAAUCGCUAGUAAUCGUAGAUCAGCAUGCUACGGUGAAUACGUUCCCGGGUCU
rnacentral:rRNA from 1 species